AGGAAAUGCAGAGACGGAGCAGUCUAGAAGCUAAGAGGACCAUAAUCUGCUAUUCAGGUAUUUCCAGCCUGUACCUGGAGAAGAGGCAUGCGGGGCACUUACAGGGAUGGAACUCGUGUCUGCUGCUUCCUUCUUUUAGAAGCCCUCCUGAUGUGCUAACUACAGGUGACUCGACCUGGACCUGCCGGGAGGAAGUCAGGACAACUCUAUCAACAACAAUGACGGUCCUGGGCUGUGCCUUGAAGCUGACUUAUGUGUCUCUGAGGGCAGAGGUCACACGUCACCCGACAUGUUCCCAGUACCUCUCUGUUGCUAGAAGCCACCAGCAUCCUGAGACAGGGAAGGUGUUCAGAGAAGAGCCAGCUGGUUUUGACUUUAUCCCUGCAGCAGGCAACGAGUGUGCAUCGUCAGGCCCCAGGCGU